rnacentral:rRNA from 1 species
GAUGGACGCUGGCGGCGUGCCUAAUUCAUGCAAGUCGAGCGAACAGACGAGGAGCUUGCUCCUCUGACGUUAGCGGCGGACGGGUGAGUAACACGUGGAUAACCUACCUAUAAGACUGGGAUAACUUCGGGAAACCGGAGCUAAUACCGGAUAAUAUAUUGAACCGCAUGGUUCAAUAGUGAAAGACGGUUUUGCUGUCACUUAUAGAUGGAUCCGCGCCGCAUUAGCUAGUUGGUAAGGUAACGGCUUACCAAGGCAACGAUGCGUAGCCGACCUGAGAGGGUGAUCGGCCACACUGGAACUGAGACACGGUCCAGACUCCUACGGGAGGCAGCAGUAGGGAAUCUUCCGCAAUGGGCGAAAGCCUGACGGAGCAACGCCGCGUGAGUGAUGAAGGUCUUCGGAUCGUAAAACUCUGUUAUUAGGGAAGAACAAAUGUGUAAGUAACUAUGCACGUCUUGACGGUACCUAAUCAGAAAGCCACGGCUAACUACGUG